GUGUUGCUUCAGCAGCACACAUACAAAAAUUGGAACCAUACAGAGAAGAUUAGCAUGGCCCCUAUGAGAAGAUGACACACAAGUGUGUGAAGCUUUCCAUAUGAAA
ensembl:snRNA U6 U6 spliceosomal RNA